rnacentral:lncRNA from 1 species
CCAUGCUCUGGGCUCAGGGAUGGGGUGAUGCUGUCUCAAUCAGGCCUCCAAGGCUGCUCUUGGGGUGGCUCCGGGCCUCAUGGCUACACAGAGGGGAAGAGGGGUUGAGCCGCAGAGAGAUUAGAAGCUGGGAAAUGGAGCCCACAAGGAAAGACUGAGUCCACGGACUGGGGAGCGCCGGGUAGAAUUGGAACAUCUCCCCCAGGGCGGAAGGAGAGCAGGAACAGCCCCAGCGGAACAGCCGUAGCCGGGCCAUCGUCCUCAGACUUGCAUCUCCCUGCAAGCGCCCGGGCCUUCCUGCCUGUCAGCCUUGCACUCGCAGCUCCCUCUGCCGGCCACACUCUUCCUCCCUCCUUUCUGGUCAAGUCCCGCUCAGCUCUGGGAUUACAGACAUGAACCAGUGUGCCCAGCCCCCUCCCAUUUUCCAGGGAGCCUGCUGCCGCCCAGCCUCCCUGGAGCUUGCUGUGCUGUUCAGGAGCAGGUACCUCAUAGCCUAUGGAAUGUUCUAGAAACGAGGCUGGCAUAUGUGUGAAGUUAGCUCAGCAGAGACAACCAGCAGAGAUGGGGUUUCACCAUGUUCAUCAGGCUGCUCUCGAAC